GGGCUCGUAGGCGGUUCGUCGCGUCCGGUGUGAAAGUCCAUCGCUUAACGGUGGAUCCGCGCCGGGUACGGGCGGGCUUGAGUGCGGUAGGGGAGACUGGAAUUCCCGGUGUAACGGUGGAAUGUGUAGAUAUCGGGAAGAACACCAAUGGCGAAGGCAGGUCUCUGGGCCGUUACUGACGCUGAGGAGCGAAAGCGUGGGGAGCGAACAGGAUUAGAUACCCUGGUAGUCCACGCCGUAAACGGUGGAUGCUGGAUGUGGGGCCCGUUCCACGGGUUCCGUGUCGGAGCUAACGCGUUAAGCAUCCCGCCUGGGGAGUACGGCCGCAAGGCUAAAACUCAAAGAAAUUGACGGGGGCCCGCACAAGCGGCGGAGCAUGCGGAUUAAUUCGAUGCAACGCGAAGAACCUUACCUGGGCUUGACAUGUUCCCGACGGUCGUAGAGAUACGGCUUCCCUUCGGGGCGGGUUCACAGGUGGUGCAUGGUCGUCGUCAGCUCGUGUCGUGAGAUGUUGGGUUAAGUCCCGCAACGAGCGCAACCCUCGCCCCGUGUUGCCAGCGGAUUAUGCCGGGAACUCACGGGGGACCGCCGGGGUUAACUCGGAGGAAGGUGGGGAUGACGUCAGAUCAUCAUGCCCCUUACGUCCAGGGCUUCACGCAUGCUACAAUGGCCGGUACAACGGGAUGCGACGCGGCGACGCGGAGCGGAUCCCUGAAAACCGGUCUCAGUUCGGAUCGCAGUCUGCAACUCGACUGCGUGAAGGCGGAGUCGCUAGUAAUCGCGAAUCAGCAACGUCGCGGUGAAUGCGUUCCCGGGCCUUGUACACACCGCCCGUCAAGUCAUGAAAGUGGGCAGCACCCGAAGCCGGUGGCCUAACCCCUUGUGGGAUGGAGCCGUCUAAGGUGAGGCUCGUGAUUGGGACUAAGUCGUAACAAGGUAGCCGUACCGGAAGGUGCGGCUG
rnacentral:rRNA from 1 species